rnacentral:misc_RNA from 1 species
CGGAAAAAAGUCUUGAAGACAUGGUAAUCACCGCACCUGAUUAAAAUCCUAUCUAUUACAGAGAAAUUAGUCAACUAUAAUUCGCUGACCAACCAACAAACCAACCGAGGCAGCUAACGCCUGCUCUGCAGUCAGCCACUUGCCGGGCGGUCACCCUCCCUCUCCAUGGUCCUUCUCAAAUCCCUUCCUUUUCUGCUUCUCUAAUGCCAAUGAACCCUUCCUUUUAUGGGUAACAAAUCGCUCAAUAAGAGGUCUAGCAAGAGCAAGCGAUCUAUCUCCAAGCCAGACAUAAUCAUGCCUCCUUCUCAAACUUCUCGUUUCACUUUCGUGAAAGUGCCCCUGUUUGUUUUAUUAGUUAUGGCAUUCAGCGUUAUCGCUCUAUUGGGCCUUUCAUCGAUCAUGUGGAGCGCUCUAACGUCCACUUAUCACUCCCCUAAAUUAUAUACAAUUCAAGUGCUCAAUGAGUUCCCUCACGACCCCAACGCCUUCACUCAGGUUACUCUUAUUGUCUCGAUCUCUAUUUUGUUUAAUUUAUGGGUAAUUUGGUGUCCUUGAAAUUCAAACUCAUUACCAUGUGGAAUUCUGUAGAUCGGUCAUUUGCUGGUUUCAUUUUCUGAUAGUAAUCAUUGCUCCUUUGAGCUUGAUUUACUUUGAUUGAGAUCUCUAACUAGCGAAUUGACCAAAGCCAUCGCAAAUUGUUACGCAAACUCAAUUACUUGCUUGUGCACGAAUUGCCUAUAUUUUAUUGUUUGGCAAUUAACAUCAAUUCAAAUUUACUUUCAGGGUCUGCUUUAUGCAGGAAAUGAUACAAUAUUUGAGUCAACGGGCCUUUAUGGCCAGGUGGGUUUGCUUUCUCUUUGAAUACAUAGCAUUCUUAGGCUUUCUGAAGCAGGAUAAGUAUUUUGCAUGUUGUCUUUGUUUUUCUUGCAAUCACAUUUAGUUUUAUGUAUUCAUCACUUAACCUUUUACUUGUGUUAUUUUAGUCAUCAGUUCGGAGGGUUGCUCUUCAAUCUGGGAAGGUACUUGUCUCUAUUAUUCAAAUUCUCUUGAAGAAUUCUAAUGUGUUUUCUAUUUCUCAAUUCAUUGUUUUGAUCCAUUCACGUUUGAGAAAUAUUUUUUCAUUGUGAAACCUUUGGAAAUAUAUGCUUUAAGUGUGAUGUAUUAGUUUGAAAUAAGCUAUUUGGAGUGCAGCCUUUAAAAAUUGAUGGAUUGUUUUUGAGAGUAUGCUACUGGUGUAAUAGAUGGUUGGUGAUCUGAAUGAUUAAUCAGUUUACCAAUUGUUAAGUAACUUUUAACAGUUUAACAAGCUUGAUAUUCAAUUCAACCUUAUGUUGUAUUUCACCUGAACAGGUUGAGGUUCUUCAGGAGAUGAAUGGUUCUUAUUUUGGGGAAGGUUUAACUCUUCUUGGUGAAAGGCUGUUCCAAGUAACUUGGUUGACAAAAACUGGUUUCAUAUAUGACCGAAACGAUUUAAGCAAAAUUGAGAAAUUUACUCAUCAGAUGCAUGAUGGAUGGGGACUGGCAACUGAUGGAAAAAUUUUGUUUGGCAGUGAUGGAACUUCAACAUUAUAUCAGAUUGACCCUCAAACAUUGAAAGGUUUCUCUUGUAUACAAAAGUUCUCUCAAUUCCGUCUAAAACCAAGCUCCCCUUAUCUUUGAUAUUCUUGUUCUUCUUUAAGUAUUAUUUUUUGCAUUUUUUGGUGGUUUCUUCCCUAUGUUAUUGAUUUUUUUUUUCUUGAACUGCAGUGAAUAUAAGCUUCAAUUUCUGUCCCUAUAUGACUAUAACAUUAUAUUUCUUUACCCAUCUUUGGAUCUGUCUAUAGUUUGGUGCUAGUUCCUACUUAAUCUUGAUGUAUAUGUCUGUUGUUUGUGUGGACAAUAAACUAAUGCUGCUUCCUUUGUCCUGUUUUGAUGCAGUAAUUACGAAACAUACUGUCAAAUAUGAAAAUCAUGAAGUACGCUACCUCAAUGAACUAGAAUUUGUAAAUGGCGAAGUUUGGGCGAAUGUUUGGCAGACUGAUUGCAUUGCAAGGAUCUCACACAAGGAUGGCACUGUGGUUGGAUGGAUUCUUCUUGAUAAUUUAAGGAAGGGAUUGGUAGCAGCUGGGCAAAAAGGCAUUGAUGUUUUAAAUGGUAUUGCAUGGGAUAGCAAUGACAACCGUCUUUUUGUUACUGGAAAAUUGUGGCCAAAGCUUUAUGAAAUCAAAUUGCAACUGAUAAAGAAACCUUUUGAUAAUGGAGUGAUUAAACGGUUUUGCUUACCGUAAUAAGCCAUGCCCAGGAACUUUUUGACAUGCCUGAGCCUGACAUGAAUUCUGAGCUAAGUGUUAAAAAGGACUCAGAGUCACGGGGGAUUUUUGACAUCCUUUUGCGUGGAUGAUAAGCUUGCACUUGCGAGGUUAGGCUGCUACACAGGAGAGAUAAUUGGAUUGAAGAAUGACAAUCACUUGAUUCUUUGGGGGCUUAGUUCUUGUAAGAUUAUUAAAAUGUACGAUUGACUUAUUUCAAAAAAAAGAAAAAAGUGCAAUUGACUUGCGUUGAGAACUUAGUUCUUACUUGUAAUAUUAUUAAAAUGUGCUCU